rnacentral:rRNA from 1 species
AACGAACGCUGGCGGCAUGCCUAACACAUGCAAGUCGAACGAGACCUUCGGGUCUAGUGGCGCACGGGUGCGUAACGCGUGGGAACCUGCCCUUAGGUUCGGAAUAACUCCCCGAAAGGGGUGCUAAUACCGGAUAAUGUCUUCGGACCAAAGAUUUAUCGCCUUUGGAUGGGCCCGCGUUGGAUUAGCUAGUUGGUAAGGUAAAAGCCUACCAAGGCGACGAUCCAUAGCUGGUAUGAGAGGAUGAUCAGCCACACUGGGACUGAGACACGGCCCAGACUACUGAGGGGAGCAGCAGUAGGGAAUCGUCCGGAAGGGGGGAAAGCGGGAGGGAGCAACGCGGAGUGAGUGAUGAAGGUCUUCGGAUGGGAAAACUAUGGGAUUAGGGGAGAACAGAUGUGUAAGGAACUGUGCAGAGCGUGACGGUACCUAAUCAGAAAGCAACGGCUAACUACGUG